rnacentral:rRNA from 1 species
GUGGGGAAUCUUAGACAAUGGGCGCAAGCCUGAUCUAGCCAUGCCGCGUGAGCGAUGAAGGCCUUAGGGUUGUAAAGCUCUUUCGUGGGGGAAGAUAAUGACUGUACCCCAAGAAGAAGCCCCGGCUAACUCCGUGCCAGCAGCCGCGGUAAUACGGAGGGGGCUAGCGUUGUUCGGAAUUACUGGGCGUAAAGCGCACGUAGGCGGACUGGACAGUCAGGGGUGAAAUCCCGGGGCUCAACCCCGGAACUGCCUUUGAAACUCCCAGUCUUGAGUUCGAGAGAGGUGAGUGGAAUUCCGAGUGUAGAGGUGAAAUUCGUAGAUAUUCGGAGGAACACCAGUGGCGAAGGCGGCUCACUGGCUCGAUACUGACGCUGAGGUGCGAAAGCGUGGGGAGCAAACAGGAUUAGAAACCCUUGUAGUCC